rnacentral:rRNA from 1 species
CCUACGGGUGGCAGCAGUGAGGAAUAUUGGUCAAUGGACGAGAGUCUGAACCAGCCAAGUAGCGUGAAGGAUGACUGCCCUAUGGGUUGUAAACUUCUUUUAUAUGGGAAUAAAAUGUUCCACGUGUGGGAUUUUGUAUGUACUAUAUGAAUAAGGAUCGGCUAACUCCGUGCCAGCAGCCGCGGUAAUACGGAGGAUCCGAGCGUUAUCCGGAUUUAUUGGGUUUAAAGGGAGCGUAGGUGGAUUGUUAAGUCAGUUGUGAAAGUUUGCGGCUCAACCGUAAAAUUGCAGUUGAGACUGGCAGUCUUGAGUACAGUAGAGGUGGGCGGAAUUCGUGGUGUAGCGGUGAAAUGCUUAGAUAUCACGAAGAACUCCGAUUGCGAAGGCAGUUCACUGGACUGCAACUGACACUGAGGCUCGAAAGUGUGGGUAUCAAACAGGAUUAGAUACCCCUGUAGUC